rnacentral:rRNA from 1 species
GUGGGGAAUAUUGCACAAUGGGGGAAACCCUGAUGCAGCAACGCCGCGUGAGUGAUGAAGGCCUUCGGGUUGUAAAGCUCUGUCUUUGGGGACGAUAAUGACGGUACCCAAGGAGGAAGCCACGGCUAACUACGUGCCAGCAGCCGCGGUAAUACGUAGGUGGCAAGCGUUGUCCGGAUUUACUGGGCGUAAAGGGAGCGUAGGUGGAUAUUUAAGUGAGAUGUGAAAUACCCGGGCUCAACCUGGGUGCUGCAUUUCAAACUGGAAGUCUAGAGUGCAGGAGAGGAGAGUGGAACUCCUAGUGUAGCGGUGAAAUGCGUAGAGAUUAGGAAGAACACCGGUGGCGAAGGCGCUUCUCUGGACUGUAACUGACGCUGAGGCUCGAAAGCGUGGGGAGCAAACAGGAUUAGAUACCCGGGUAGUCC